AGCAUUUUCUAUGUUCUCAUCGUCAGUCAUCAUCAGUGUGUUUUCUAACGGAAGCUGCCCAAGGUUAACAAGGAACUGAAACUCUUGGAGGAAAGUGAGCUUUCCACCAAGAAGAAGAAGAAAAAGGGCAAUGUGGGCAAUGUUUCUUUGACGCAUCUCCACACUGCUUGAAUACUUUAGUCCAGUGUUUUAAUGCUGUUGUCUCUUUCACUCCUUGCCUCAUUCUGCUCUUAUCUGUUUUUCUCUCAAGGCCGUAGCGAAUCUCCUGACGGACGACCGGUUCAAGGUGAUGUUCAAGAACCCUGAUUACCAGGUGGACGAGCGAAGCGAGGAGUUCGUCUGCUCAACCCCAUCGUGUCUAAAGUGGGUGAAAAGUGGAACCAGAAACUCAGCCAGAUUGUUCAGCACGAGGAACAGACAGCAAGGCAGGCAGAGCUGGGUCGAUUACAGGAGAGGAGUUUCACAGCUUCGGCGAUGUGGCCCGCAAACAGAAGAAGCAGAAGGCAGUUACUCUUCUCUCAGAUCAUUUUAAAACCACUUAUACCGGGUUUCUGUGGGUCUUAAAAAGUCUUUAUUCACCCUUCCACAAAUAAGUUCUAAAACUGGAACAGAAAAUUAUGAAAUUAUGUCCUUGAAUUAGUGCUGCACGAUUAUGACAAAAAUCAUAAUUGCCAAUUAUUUCCUUGAAAUAGUAAUUGCGAUUAUUAAUUACGAUUAUCACAAUUUACAUUGAAUGAUGUUUAUACCAUUGUUUGAUGCAACCGCAUGCCGUAUUUUUAUAUGAAAAUACACAAGCUGAAAACAUUCUAACUGAAAAUCUUUUAGUGCUUUUCUAUAGUAUUAAGCUUCAAAUGUCAACUAUACAUCAGAUUGGUUUCUUCUUUAAAUUAGAAAAAAAGUAAAAAUAUUAACGGUAUUAUAAUGUUAUACUAAAACUAAAAUUAAAAUAAUGGGAAAAACCCUUAAGAUAACAUGUAGAAAGAAAAAACGCAUCUUAAGCACACAGAAUGACGUAAGUGGACUUUGAACAAUUACAUAAUUGUGGCAUCCAUAAUUGUAAUCGCGAUUAGAAAUUCGAUUAAUUGUGAAGCUCCUACCUUGAAUGCAAAAACAUAAUUUUUUUCGUCUGUGUGGAAAAUGCCACAUGCAACUGAUUGAUUGCUCACAUAUUGAAGCUGCAUGAUACUGACUCAAGAAAUGAUCAGCCAUGUGCUACUGAAACCAUUAGGGAUCUAGAAACGUUUCUAAACACACUGAAUCCAUAGUUUCUGAUUGUGUGGAAAAUGUUUUGUGUGUGUGUGUGUAUUAUUUUCAUGAUACGUGUCUUUUAAUAACUGCUGUUAGAACAGCUAUACUAGCAGUCCGUGUGGGUCAGUGAUGGCUGUCCCGUCCUAACCCUGUUUGAGUGCAGCGGGUGGUGUAUUGACAGGUAACACACGUUGACUCACAUGUUAGUGAACGUGCCAUAUAUAGCGAGCACGUCUUCUUGAACCCUCAGUGAAUUAUUUACACUUAACCUAGCAGGGUUUUUCCAUGUUAAAGUCAAAACAAAAUCAAAAUUGACUCUUUUGCAUUAUUAAUACGUGUUCGUGGUCUUAUUGGGAGCGAUUCCUGAAUGCACAUUAUUAUUAAGGAAAAAUAGUUUGUUUUCACAUUUGUUAGUUACAAUGUAAGAACAUUUCCGACUUAUAUCAUUUUUUAGAAGAAUCUAUAAAUAUGUAAAUCUAAUAUAAUCAUCAGGCUUUUGAGAAAUGUUUGUACUGCAGUCCUUCACAUCCUACCCUUCGCUAUUUUCUCUUGUUAAAGAUUUUUAAGUCACAUUACAGUAGAUUUUAUUUUGCUCAAUUGCUGUGUAUUCAAACACUGUUUGACCUCACUCAGGACUUCUCUGGAGGAGCGACUCCAGCGGGAGCAGAGCUCAGGGAUGCUAAACCUCUGUGACACAGCAGCUGGAAGCAAACAGCUCACUUUCACUCUCAAAAAGGUAAGUGAUGAUGGCAGCCCAUCCCAGCUGCCACCUGUGCAGACUGAGGCUUUAUUCUACUGAUGCUUCGUCUGGAGAAUGCAAGUCGAAGAAUGCUGAAUGGGUUUUAAUUUGUUACUGCGAUAUCUUGUUCUCUCUUUGGUCGAAUGAAGAUUAUGGUGUGGUAUGACUCAUUCCCAGCUCAGAUUUCUGCAAAGACUGAAGAAUAGCUUCUGUAUGCCCUGAAUUCUCACCGUGGUUUUCUGUCCUUUGACCGCUCGCACACUCGUUUAAUCCCCAUACUCCUCCUGUCUGUCGUACACAAAAUUCAGGAAAAUCACUUACGUAGCUGCUUUGUUGGGUUGUUAAAUGGCCCUGAAAAUAUUUUAAUAACCGGAUAGUCUGAGUAGUCUGUAUGACUCAUGCACUAUAAUCCAAGUCUUCUGAAGUCAUUUAAUAGUUUGUGUAAUUGUUCAGUUAUGAUUUACCCAUUUUGCUGUAGUUCUCAAGCGAGCGUGACACAAUUAAUGUUCAAACAUUGGGGUCAGUACAUUUAAAAAAAAAAAGACAUUAAUUUACCAACGAUGCAAUAAAUUAAAAUCACAGUAAAGAUUUUUAGGAUUG
ensembl:lncRNA